rnacentral:rRNA from 1 species
CCUACGGGUGGCUGCAGUGGGGAAUAUUGGACAAUGGGCGAAAGCCUGAUCCAGCCAUGCCGCGUGUGUGAAGAAGGCCUUCGGGUUGUAAAGCACUUUCAGUGGGGAAGAAAGCCUUGGGGCUAAUACCCUCGAGGAAGGACAUCACCCACAGAAGAAGCACCGGCUAACUCCGUGCCAGCAGCCGCGGUAAUACGGAGGGUGCGAGCGUUAAUCGGAAUUACUGGGCGUAAAGCGCGCGUAGGCGGUCUGAUAAGCCGGUUGUGAAAGCCCCGGGCUCAACCUGGGAACGGCAUCCGGAACUGUCAGGCUAGAGUGCAGGAGAGGAAGAUAGAAUUCCCGGUGUAGCGGUGAAAUGCGUAGAGAUCGGGAGGAAUACCAGUGGCGAAGGCGGCCUUCUGGACUGACACUGACGCUGAGGUGCGAAAGCGUGGGUAGCAAACAGGAUUAGAUACCCCAGUAGUC